rnacentral:misc_RNA from 1 species
GAAUACAGCAGUUCUCUCUUCGUAAGAAGAGAGAUUGUGUUACCCUUCGUAACACAUUACCCGUGAGGGAACUAUUAGGUGGAAACCUAGUUAGCUUUGUCGUCAUAAGUGAUCAACGUCUUUCCCCUCGAUUUAUUUUCGGCGGGCGAAUGACGGAUGGGAACGGCGAUAGUUACAAUGUUUGACGUAUCACGUGAUAUUAUCACAAGGUAUGGUCUGUUGAGUGCAAUCGUAGGACCCCGGUUGUUAUCUACAACCGGUUGAA